rnacentral:lncRNA from 1 species
UGCUCACACAGACUAUCGCCACACAGUAGGCCACCCCGCCAAGCUGUACCCACUGGAUCCCUCAAACCUGAGAGCAAUGGCCAGGUCUGCCAGAGACCCCCACCGCAGCCGCCCUCCUCCCUGGAGGGGAAGGUGGUGUUUGAUGUCGGAGUGCCCAGAGGGGCACUAUGCGGCCAAAAUUUAGCGGCGACAGGAAAGAGAAGAAACCAAACUGCCUUCAUCCGGAAGACCAGAUGAAGAUGUAGGUCCCCCAAAUCCUUGCGGGGUUAACUGCAGGAGAAAAGGAACUAAAAGGUACUG